rnacentral:lncRNA from 1 species
CAUCACCACACACAUACAAGCAGCUACCUUAGGUCGUCUGUGUGCCGGCCGUGUCCGUGUCUCUACGUACGGAUUGGUGGUCGGCCGGAUCAUCACUCGUCGAGAAUGAGGUCGAGGAGAUUCCUGACGCCGCGAAGCUUGCUCCUGAGGCCAUCCGAGAGGAUGGCGACGGCCACCGUCCUGCCCAACGUCUUCGCCCAGGGCCAGCGGCCGGUCCUGCGGCCUGCAGCUCUCCAGUCCAGCUCGCGCUUCACUUCCGCGAGCUCCUUCUCCAGCUUCUCAACCCGAUCGUCGGUCUGCUUGAACUGCGCCACGACCGCCUCCAUAUCGCCGCGACCUGCUCCGCCACCAAACCGUAGUCGCUGUCGUCAAUCUGCCGCAGCGCAACCGCGACCAGGUCUCCGCGAGUUUCUGUAUGUGCAUGCAUGCGCGCGAAAUCAACUUGCAUGCAUGGUUAACUUGUGGAGAUCUAUCUAGUGCUUACCAUAUGCAUAUAUAUACUAUACACACAAAUACUAUAUAUGAUAUAACUAAGGUCUGGAGUUCGCAAAAGUUUUUGGAUUUUGUUACUGUAGCAUUUUCGUUUGUUUGUAACAAAUAUUGUCCAAUCAUAGACUAAUUAGGGUCAAAAGAUUCGUCUUAUGGUUUACAGACAAACUGUAUAAUUAGUUUUUGUUUUCGUCUAUAUUUAAUACUUCAUACAUGUACCGCAAGAUUCGAUGUGACGGAAAAUCUUGAAAAAUUUUAGGAACUAAACAAGGCCUAAACAAAAAAUCAAGCCAAGUUUUAUUUUUAUAAGACAGCACGAAUGAACCUGGUCGGCCUGUACCAGUCGUGUUGUCAUCACGGUCGUUUGAUGGAUGCAGCAGCCACCCCUGCGCUGAGAAACAGUACUCACGGUCUCCACGUUCUGGAUCUCGUAGUCCUGCCAAGAACCAAAUUAAACAAAUCCACGCCAAACUAGUUAUUACUCCUGAUGAAGCAGGUAUAUAUAUAGGUUCACGAAAUGAAACUGAUCAAGUAGGUAAUUAACAACAGCAUGCAAUAUCUAUCUGUGUAUCUAUAAGAAAAAACGAGGGCACAAUAGAUAUAUAAUUGAAUUCAAACUAAUAAAAAACAAAGGCAUGCAAAAAUUCAGAGUGGAUAGUAUCGACGACAGAUCUACGUAGGUAGCAUAGACGAGAAGGUCUGAUAUGCUCACCUCCAUGGCGGAACUUCUAGCUAGUUGUCUAACGAGGUGGUGGAAAAGAAAUUAGGCGCGCGGGCCCGGAGUUAAUUAAGGCUAGGGCCUG